UACGGGGGGGGCAAGCGUUGUUCGGAUUUACUGGGCGUAAAGCGCGCGUAGGCGGAUCGCUAAGUCAGGGGUGAAAUCCCAGGGCUCAACCCUGGAACUGCCUUUGAUACUGACGAUCUGGAGAUCGGGAGAGGUUGGUGGAAUUCCGAGUGUAGAGGUGAAAUUCGUAGAUAUUCGGAGGAACACCAGAAGCGAAGGCGGCCAACUGGCCCGAUACUGACGCUGAGGCGCGAAAGCGUGGGGAGCAAACAGG
rnacentral:rRNA from 1 species